rnacentral:rRNA from 1 species
UCCGCAGGCGGGCAAUUAAGUCAGGGGUGAAAUGGUGCGGCUCAACCGUAGCACUGCCCUUGAUACUGGUUGUCUUGAGUCAUAGUGAAGUGGCCGGAAUAUGUAGUGUAGCGGUGAGAUGCAUAGAUAUUACAUAGAACACCGAUUGCGAAGGCAGGUCACUAACUAUCGACUGACGCUGAUGGACGAAAGCGUGGGGAGCGAACAGGAUUAGAUACCCUGGUAGUCC